rnacentral:tRNA from 1 species
GGCCCCGUGGCUCAGUGGUAGAGCGUGUGAUUCCAGUAGUUGAUGUGUAUCCACAAGGUCAUCCGUUCAAAUCGGGUCGGGGUCA